GUUAGGCUGAGAAGAUGUUAGUUAGGUAAACAAUGAAUCUUGGGUUGGCUCUUCAAGUGUCUUCCUCACUCGCCUGUAGCCAAGCUCACAGGCAAGAAGCAAGCAAUAAGCAUGCUCUGCCAGGGUCUUUCUCCUCAAAUUGCAUCCUCACUGUUUGUCAGGAGAUCAGGCUGGCUGCACAGUGUAUGCUUUCCCUGCUUUUUUGCAGAAAUAAUAUGUCGCAUCAGCCUAAUACUUGUAUCACCCACAGCAAGCUGGAGAAGAGCUCUUGGGACUCGUGACAAUGAAAGGCUCCGGAGGGCAUAUGGCAGGAGGGAAGCCACAGCCAGCCGGCCCAGCAGUUGCCUCUCUGCCUCUCCAAGAAGCAAAGAGAUGACUCCAGAGGACUGUAGAUAUACCUCUGAGAUAAGUAAUUUUUGCUAUUUUUUUUUUUUUUUUAUCUUUCUGCUUCAUUUAGUUUCUCACACUUGUGGAUCUUUGUGGGUGAGGAAAAUCAGUUCACAAACAGAAGCUUGGCCAAAGGAGCUAUUAAAACAGCUCAUUCCGCAGAAGCUAGAGCUGCUGUUAGCAAACUUCUCAUUCUGCUUAGUAAUUGCAUGCUGCUUGGUAUGCAAGUGCUCAUUUUCAGCUACCUGCUAACCCUGCCAUAAGGCAAACCCACUCGAAGUGCUCCACUCUGCUGAGAGGUGCUGUGGACUCAGGGCGUUGCAGGCACACAGGAGCAGCUGAGAGAAGUCCUGGAGACCUGAGGGCCUUAAAACCUCCCAUGAAGCAUGGUGAGACAGCCACACAGCCUUUCCAGCAGGGAACAAAAUGCUCGACACCACUUAUCCCAUGACACAUGGCUGCGGCCACUCCAUUAGCCUGUCUCAGCAAAGCAUCAGUCCCCAUCCCACCCAUUGCUGCAGGCACCCGCAGGAAACACUGCUUGUCUUUGUCGUUCAUCCCACUGGAAAUGCUGGUGUUUAACAUGCAAGCUGCUGAACCAAGCACAAAACACAGCUGGGGAAUCUCUUCUUGAUAGUAAUAUAUUAAAAGGGAAAAAGAAUGAUAAAACAGAAGCUGGAGGCAAUGCAGACACAUCCUAUCCCUGCUAUGCUUCUGGAGAGAUUUCUGAUUCCUUUCUGGCCAAGGGCAAUUUUUGGUUAUAGUACUUUUUUUUUCUGGGGAAAAAAAAAAAAAAAAAAAAAAAAAAAAGGAGAUUAAUUAUUUAUUGAAAUAAGAUGAGUUAGUGUUUCGGGUAAAAAAAAUGGAGAUUAAUUAUUUCUUGAAAUAAGAUGUUUCGUGUUACAGUCCUUCUUCGCCUGUAACACAGGCACAGACUGUGCUGCCCUCUGACUGCGUCCUGGAGCCAAGAAAUCUGCUUUGGACACUCCUUUGGAUUAGUGUCAAAAUGGCAACGAAGCUGAGCCUCUGUUUGCUACAGCAGAAAUGGUGCCUGGCUGCUGUACUGUUUUACAGCUCCUCUGCCCUCAUGGAGCACAACUUCUUGGUCACCUCUGUGCACCCCACUGAUCUCUUUUCCGGAUAUCCUGAAAAUCACGACACCUGUAAGCCCGCUAAUUUCUCCAUCUCUCUGAAACAUGACAUGAGGCCGUCUCCUUAUGUCAGACACCAGCCGCAGAGAUUCCUUCCUGCUCAGCCAAGUUGCACAGCGUGUUUUCUGUCUGUCUUGCUGCUGGGAUGCUGCACAGUGACAGUCAGGUUGGUGAGGUGAUGCCAAGAAGAGCUGAAGGAGAAAAAAAAAUCAGAAUUUCCAACCCACGGGAAAUUCCAAUGUGUUGAUGAGUAUUUUUUGUCUUGGGCUGGCACAAAGAGUCAAAGUCCUAACCUGGUCCUGUACAAUAAAAUGGUCAAAAAAAAAAAAAAAAGUACAAAGAUACUGAUGCAUUUUACAUCAAAUCCUUUCGUUACUAGGAGGCACCUCCUGGCAGGUGUUUUCACAUCCCCCAACAACAGACCUGUCCAGAGUUUGAACAACACAAAUGUUAGCUCCUGUGAGAAGAGGUUGGACUGGCUGCGAUGACUGUUUGAAUGGAACAAGCAGAAAAUGAAAGUCCUUCAGCUCUCCAGACACAUCGGGGACACACAAUGCCUCCCAGCAAUUGCAAGAAACCAGAUCUGCAAGCCAAAUAGCAGCUAGUGCCUCACCAAACUUAGAUUUCUUUAGUCACAGAAGCACCUAGAAAUAAACCAUGAAGAGACUUCAAGAGGUCAUUUAGCUCAUUUUCUCACUUAAAGGGCAAGCCAGUCCUGGAUAAAGAUCAGGCCGUCAGCUUUUCUGGCCGGCGUGGAAGCGCUGGGCACGCACGUAGCCGCGGGCGGCUGGACGCCUCCCAUCUGGAUCCCCGCAGCUCCUUUGAAAAGUGUGUCAAAAGGGGUCAGGGGGGGGGAGGAGGAACACGAGCAUGUGGCGGGUUGCUGAGCCGAAACCCGCCGUAGCAGCGUGCUGAGCCAGCCCAGCACUGCCCCUGAGUCCUGCUGGAUGUGUCAUUCAUGGUGCACAGCUGGCAAAGCCCCCAUGGGCUUGACCGAACACUUUGUACCCAACGCAUAGCACAUGUCCAAGGCCCCUUUUCCUUCCCCCUGCCCUGUUAAUGCAGCGCUGAAUGUUACUUCCCGUAAUGAAGCAGCCAGCUCCUCCCUAGAGCCACUCAGCUGAGAUUUAACACCAGGGUGGUUUGCACAGGAAAUUGGUGUUGGUUUUACUGGCUGUGGCAGCAAGGAGGCAGAUGACCGUGUGGAGCAAGGUGGGAGCAGGCUCAGCUGGUGUAAUUUCCCUGUGCAACACCCCUGGGUCUCACAGACCCCUUCCUGCAGCUCCUCAGUGCAGGAGGAGAGCUGCACGCAGCGAUAGCAACACUGCUCUGAGGCCAAGUGUGCUCUGAGCUUGUGAGAGCCCUGCAACCUGGCCUAGAGUCUCUGGGUCUCCCAGGGGUUUCCAGUUUCAGUUGGUGUCUCACGAUUCUGCCCACGCUGUCCCCUUGCUGUGCAAGCUGGCAGUUUGUCCAGCUCAUCUGCAAGCAGGCAGGCCCUGGGGAUGCGGUGCUUUCCAACCCAAAUGGAGCCACUCCUUUUGCAUAAUCUCAAGGGAUUUGGGAUUUCCUGCACAUUUGGGUUCCCUAGGGCCCAAAACUUUAUGCAGGUAGGGUCUGGGAAGCCCCUCAUGCACACGGCAAGACAGACAAAAAGAGCACUGUGAUGGUAAGCGCUGCACAAGCAAGCAGUGAGUCAGUUACGGCAUUGCCACAUCUCUGGCUGGAGCUGUGUCACCCGGCAGACGCCAUCUGGCUGGCAAACAGGGACCACUCAAGCACUGAAGGCAAAAAGUGUGCUGGCUAGGCAGCCUUUCUGCACCCCCUUUAGUGUAGGGAGGGGAAUUCACACGAGGAGACAAUGUGCCACGAGAAACUAUAAUACAGAAGGGCCUGGCCUGCACAGUAAGGACAGCAAUGACCGUGUCAGGAUCCUCAGAAUUAUUGGGGUGCUUGUUGCCCAGGAGGUGUUGCACAAUUCAAACUCUUCUGUUUUGAAAUCAGAGCAGUUUCUGGUUGUCUUGUGCCUGGUCUCCAGGUAAUGCCGGAAGAUACAAAAAACAACUUAGUAAAUUAAUGUGUUUGUAUAAUAUUUGUUGACUGUGAUGUCUGAUGACUUUAUUAGGUAAAGAAAAGAGAGAUAAACACUUUAUAGGAGCUAUCUUGCUGGUGAGGAAUUGCAAAACACAGACAUUACGAGUUUGCCCAAGACCAUGACUUAAGGCUGUAGGAGAAUUAGGCACUGAAUGCCUCCCCCUGUUUUCCCUGGGGAAAACAGCCUGGGUGCAUGGGGGACACAAGCCAAAGACAGUGAUGUGUCAUGAAGCCAAACUUCUGUUCAGACACACUUCUGGCUUAAUGUUGUCUGUUCUUCCUUCAUUGUACAGGAGCAAAGGAGCACUCUGCUGGGUCACCUAUACCAGCUGAAUGCUGUGCGUCACUGCCAGGAUAGGUGCCUUUGUCUAUAUAAGUCAUUUGGAGAUUAUUUAUUUCCUGUAGCUUGAGCAAUCUUUGUUGAAGUCUCCAUCUAAUCUAAUCAGUCUGGAUCUUUCCGUAAAAGGGACAAUAAGCAUGUCUGGAGUAAAAUCAUCUGGAGCCCUGUCAGACAUGCCAGAAGGUGACAAACUGGCCCAUACAAUCCCCAUUUCACUGCACUUGGCUACUAAGGACAUCGUGGUGCCUGUUUCAGACGGGCAUGGAUACUUGUGAUCGUAAGAGCAGAUGCUACCAUUCAGCCCUGGUAAACUGUUAUCAUAUAUUUCUGUGAGCUCAGAUAGCUCAAUCAAGCCUACGUUGAUCAGUUUUUUACACUCAAUUGAUUUUGAGAGCCCGAUUUGAAGCACAUGUUCACUGUGCAGUUGUGAAGCUGGAACUGAAGUGCUCACAGCUGAAGUUGACCCACAAACACAGUUUUUUAUUGCUCUUUAACUAGUGAUUGCUUGUUAUCCACAGGAAAGGACAUAUGUGUCGCAUUAGUAAAAAUAGAUGUAUUACUUUGGACAUCUUUUCCAGAAAAUUUGCACUGGAAGAGUCAAAAAAGCCUUUAUUGUGGUAAAACAUUUGAAAUAUAAGUCCUAUAUGUAAAAAAUUGUUUCAGUGAAUAAAGGCCUGAUAGUUUUCACUGCUGUGUUAGAAGAAAUUUAGUAAGCAAGUGAUUUUAGUACAGUGUUGCAAGGAACUCUUUGCCGAAUUAAAAAAUAAUUUUCUUAUCUGAAUAUUUUUGUU